UACGAAGGGGGGCGAGCGUUGUUCGGAUUUACUGGGCGUAAAGGGCGCGUAGGCGCUUGUCAGUCAGGCGUGAAAACUCGAGGCUCAACCUCGAGACGUCGGUUGAAACCAUCUGGCUAGAGUCCGGAAGAGGAGUGUGGAAUUCCCGGUGUAGCGGUGAAAUGCGCAGAUAUCGGGAAGAACACCCGUGGCGAAGGCGGCACUCUGGGACGGUACUGACGCUGAGACGCGAAAGCGUGGGGAGCGAACAGG
rnacentral:rRNA from 1 species